UACGUAGGGUGCGAGCGUUAAUCGGAAUUACUGGGCGUAAAGCGUGCGCAGGCGGUUUUGUAAGCCAGAUGUGAAAGCCCCGGGCUCAACCUGGGAAUGGCAUUUGGGACUGCAAGGCUUGAGUGCGGCAGAGGAGACUGGAAUUCCUGGUGUAGCAGUGAAAUGCGCAGAUAUCGGGAGGAACACCAAUGGCGAAGGCAGCUCGCUGGGACGGUACUGACGCUGAGACGCGAAAGCGUGGGGAGCAAACAGG
rnacentral:rRNA from 1 species